CGCCGCGCCGUACCCCCUCUCCCGCCCGGGGAUGGGGGCUGCGGGGCGGAGACUAGCCUCCCGUGCGCCAUGGCGCGCGGAUGGCCCAAAUGCGAUCCCUCGGCGACGCACGUCACGACAAUCGAUGGUUGAUCACUCGACUCACGUGCCGUCGUGCUCCGCAGCGUCGCCUGCCAGGGCAUCUCACGGACCCAAUGGCGCGCGCCGCCAGCACUC
rnacentral:misc_RNA from 1 species